UAAUUGCCUUAUUUAUGUCUGUUUUUUUCCAUUUGAAACAGAAGCACAUGCAUGACCUGACUGAAGGAUGGCUGAUUUUCUGUAUCAGCUGCCAUGCCGUGAUGACUUCUAGAAGAGAGGGGAGUGAGACAGGAGACUGCUGGACUAUCUCCAACAGGAGAACACCAAGGCCUCACUGAGAGUGUCAGACGAGUCUGGAUGGCAGGGGUUACAUGCUGUCCCUCAACCGAGUGCCAUCUCACCCGGGACCCAUCAUAGCCCAUGCAGGACCCAUCGGUUCAUCUUCUGCUGCAGCGUUCAUAGUUCUAGAGCCUGGACCUUGGAUGCAAAAUUGGUAUUAUUUUCUAAAAAGUCCUGUAUCUUCCAAGUGGAGGUCAUCUGCUGGCACAAGCCGGACUGCACCAUCUGAGCAUUCAAACUCACCGAGUGUUGAAAAGAGGGUCAAGAGGAGCCAAGCAACUCAUGGAACUUUUCUCCCGGGUAAGAAACCUGCAUCCCAGGGUCACAGUCCCCUCUCUUUGUGUCUUUUUUCCCCUUUGUGUCUUUAAUUUGUUCCUCACCACUAGUUAUUUUACUUCAUCCUACAAAUAGACCCCCAAAUCAAGAAUGCAACUGGCUACGAGGCACAGAUCCUCCUGAGUAUCUGGUGGGUGACUCCCGUGUAACCCAUUCAAAAUGGAAUCCAUCAGGUGCUACUCCCCCGCCUACAUCCACCUCCCCAGACCUGUUCUAUUCCUGUACACUAUUUACUGAUAUAUAAACACACUCAAUCUAAAAACCUUUUUCAUAAGCAGAAGUUCAUAUAAAUGACUAUUAAUUCUCACUCUUAUUAAUGUCACAGUAACAUUUUUCUAGUAAUAGAAAAGUAAGCUUAAACAUUAAGCUAGUGAUAUUGACAACAUAAAUUGUAUUAUAAAGGUAACUGUAAACUCUGCAAUUACACUAAUAAAAUAAAAAUUUCUAAAGUGAC
rnacentral:lncRNA from 1 species